UACGAAGGGGGCGAGCGUUGUUCGGAAUUACUGGGCGUAAAGGGCGCGUAGGCGGCGACUCUAGUCAGAUGUGAAAGUCCUGGGCUUAACCUGGGGACUGCAUUUGAUACUGGGUUGCUUGAAUUCGGGAGAGGAUAGCGGAAUUCCCAGUGUAGAGGUGAAAUUCGUAGAUAUUGGGAAGAACACCGGUGGCGAAGGCGGCUAUCUGGACCGACAUUGACGCUGAGGCGCGAAAGCGUGGGGAGCAAACAGG
rnacentral:rRNA from 1 species